GACAGAGGGUGCAAACGUUGCUCGGAAUCAUUGGGCGUAAAGCGCACGUAGGCGGUCUGAUAAGUCGGAUGUGAAAGCCCUCGGCUCAACCGAGGAAGUGCAUUCGAAACUGCCAGGCUUGAGUAUGGAAGAGGGUCUCGGAAUUCCCGGUGUAGAGGUGAAAUUCGUAGAUAUCGGGAGGAACACCAGUGGCGAAGGCGGAGACCUGGGCCAAUACUGACGCUGAGGUGCGAAAGCUAGGGGAGCAAACGGG
rnacentral:rRNA from 1 species